CACUCAUGUUUCUCUUCAUAUCGUAUAAAUCUUUCGCCUUUUACUAAAGAUUUCCGUGGAGAGAGGAACGCUAUGAGUAUAAACUAAUUUUUUGAUGCCCUGCUUAAAUGUAGGGCU
rnacentral:snRNA from 12 species